rnacentral:lncRNA from 1 species
AACCUAUGUGGCGUGGGCUUGGUAGAAAAUGAACAUCUCUCUGUGGUUUUGCACAAAGUGCUAAGGCGUCCCUCCAAACAGUUGUGUGGCAGGAGCCGUCAGCAUCUACCUGCACAGCUGCGGCCCAGUGGCGACGGGAAGGCCAUUUACAGGUGUCCCUGGGCAGGAGCGCCAGACUCCCAGGACCUUCCCCGAGCAGACUUCGCUGCUCGCCAGCCCCACUCUGGGAAGCCGGCGGCCGGGACUUGCGGUGGCCGCACAGGAAGGGCGGAGGCCCUACGCGCGGUCCGACCCCGUCGCUCCGUCCCAGCCCAGACCCCAGCCCCGGGCGGCCCCGAGCCCCGCCCGCCGGCUCGCCCCGCCGGCCGCGCGCCUGCGCACCGGCCCCGGGUUAGCAGAGGUGGAGCGCCGGGAGGGAGGCAGGCGGACGGACGCCGUGACGGCGCGAGCGUGGUCACGUGCCUGCCGGUCACCGCCGCCACCUCCCGCCCUUCAGGUUCCACGAGAGCCCGGCAGACUGAGGGGGAGACACACAGAGAGCGAGAGAGUGAGAAACAGAGAGAGAGAGAGGAAGGAGGGGAGGAGGAUCAGGGAGUAGGAGCUGGGGAGCCCUGCCGCGCACAGAAAGUUUCUAAUGCCUGGGUGAAGAUAGGAAAACUGUCAGAUAGGCUGAGCACUGUCAUACUGUAAUCAAUCACUCUUGGU